CUUAAACAAAGUAGAAACAGAUGUUGUACCAUCGAUCUAACUAAAAAGGAUCAUCUAAAUCAGAUAGCAUCGAGUAGGCAUAGCAAGCUAAUCACCACCAUGAUUGAUGGUGUUAGCUUCCUCAGUGGGAACUUUUAACAUCUCGAUUUGAUAUUGUAAGUCUGCGAUCAGAACUCCUUGGUUUUUAAUACUUGAUUCCACCACUUUAAUCCUUGAUCUUGCCUCAUCGAUCUCUUUAAACAGGUGAGUAGUUAUCUCAGAUUGACUUACUUGCUUCUUCCCUGUGAUGAUAUCCAUCACCUUUUUCCAAUCUGGAUCAUAAGAAUCCAUUUUGACGAUAGUAGGAAUGGGUGAG
rnacentral:lncRNA from 1 species